CAUGUCUAUUUGUAGUUUUAAAUAGUCCAAUCUGCCCACUGAUAGUUUUAUUAAAGGGCCGCAGUAUUCUAACUGUGCAAAGGUAGCAUAAUCGUUAGUUCUUUAAUUGGGAUCUUGUAUGAAUGAUUAGACAAAAGUACUACUGUCUUUAUAAUAAAAAUUGAAUUUAACUUUUAAGUGAAAAGGCUUAAAUUAUUUAGAGUGACGAUAAGACCCUAUAAAGCUUAAUAUUUUAUAAAAAUGUAAAUGAUAUAUAAUUAUAAAAUUUUAAAUAUUAUAAGUAUUUUAUUGGGGUGAUAGAAGUAAAAUUAAAAUAACUGCUUUAUGUUAAAACAAUUAUAAGUGAUUAGAUGUAAAUGAUCCUAUAAUAUGGAGUAUAAGAUUAAGUUACUUUAGGGAUAACAGCGUAAUUUUUUUUAAGAGUUCUUAUCGAAAAAAAAGAUUGCGACCUCGAUGUUGAAUUAAAAUAUCUAUAUAAUUGUAGGAGUUAUAUUAGAGGGUCUGUUCGACCUUUAAAUUUUUACAUGAUUUGAGUUCAGACCGGUUUAAACCAGGUCGGUUUCUAUCUUCUAAUUUGUGUUGUAAUUACUUUA
rnacentral:rRNA from 1 species